GCGGGCGUGGUGGAAUGGUAGACACACAGGACUUAAAAUCCUGAGGAGGCAUCUCCGUGCGGGUUCGAGUCCCGCCGCCCGCACCA
rnacentral:tRNA from 1 species